rnacentral:rRNA from 1 species
CAGCACCUCAAGUGGUCAGGAUGAUUAUUGGGCCUAAAGCAUCCGUAGCCGGCGCUGUAAGUUUUCGGUUAAAUCUGUACGCUCAACGUACAGGCUGCCGGGAAUACUGCAGCGCUAGGGAGUGGGAGAGGUAGACGGUACUCGGUAGGAAGGGGUAAAAUCCUUUGAUCUAUUGAUGACCACCUGUGGCGAAGGCGGUCUACCAGAACACGUCCGACGGUGAGGGAUGAAAGCUGGGGGAGCAAACCGGAUUAGAUACCAGAGUAGUCC